GUGCUCGCGGCAGCACAUACACUGAAACUGAAACGGUACGGAGAAGAUUAGCAUGGCCCUUGUGCAAGGAUGACACGCCAAUUCGUGAAGCCUUCCAUGUGAAA